GACGAACGCUGGCGGCGUGCCUAAUACAUGCAAGUCGAACGCAGUGGGAGCAGUUGAGUAACACGUGGGUAACCUCCCAUCAGAGGGGAUAAAACUUGGCAACAGGUGCUAAACCGCUACUGGUGGAUGGAGCCGCGGUGCAUUAGCUAGUUGUGGAGGUAACGGCGCACCAAGGCCACGAUGCAUAGCGGACCUGAGAGGGUGACCGGCCACACUGGGACUGAGACACGGCCCAGACUCCUACGGGAGGCAGCAGUAGGGAAUCUUCGGCAAUGGACGAAAGCCUGAUCGAGCAACGCCGCGUGAGUGAAGAAGGUUUUCGGAUUGUAAAACUCUGUUGUCAGAGAAGCGGUAUCUAACCAGGAAGCCACGGCUAACUACGUGCCAGCAGCCGCGGUAAUAC
rnacentral:rRNA from 1 species